rnacentral:rRNA from 1 species
CAGCAGCCGCGGUAAUACGGGGGGUGCAAGCGUUAAUCGGAAUUACUGGGCGUAAAGCGCACGCAGGCGGUCUGACAAGUCAGAUGUGAAAUCCCCGGGCUUAACCUGGGAACUGCAUUUGAAACUGUCAGGCUGGAGUCUUGUAGAGGGGGGUGGAAUUCCAGGUGUAGCGGUGAAAUGCGUAGAGAUCUGGAGGAAUACCGGUGGCGAAGGCGGCCCCCUGGACAAAGACUGACGCUCAGGUGCGAAAGCGUGGGGAGCAAACAGGAUUAGAUACCCCUGUAGUCCCUGUCUCUUAUAC